UCCCCAAUGCCCUAAACCUACGCCGACACCCUCGAUUCCUCUUCACCCCACGACGUCGCCACCUCCCUUUGUCGAACCUUUCUCCCCAAUUCACCUGUCGAUCUCCUCUCUCCCCGAGCCCUCACCCAGCGCUGCCGAUCCUCUCCUCACGCGAGCACCGCAACACCGUCGUCUUUGUGCCAUAGCGCCGACUGACCCUUCUUUCCCACACCCUCUCAUGAGUUCCCGAGCCACAGCUGUCGAUCUCUCCUCCUCCUCACGCGAGAGCCAGAGCCGCCGACCUCUCCUCACGAGAGCACCAGAGACGUACACCACCGCACCCGAUUGCACGGCAUUGCUCAAGCCAUCGCACACCGGAGGCUCCUAACCCUUCUACCCUGCACCUAUAGCCCCAUCCGUAUUCCUCUCUUCCGAUCCCUGCUCUGCACAGAUCAAUCUUCAGCGAAAGGAAAGAAAAUCUGAGCCCUUCUCUGCCGACCCCAACAGCUACUUGCGGUGGUUCUUGGUUGGGAGAGAAGAUGCCGACACGUUGGGCAAAUUCCACCUCGCUCCGGUCAAAUUUACUGGCAUCAAGUUGUCUCCGGUUGUGGACCACCAGCUGAGGCUUCAAAUUUGGGACCUUGAUCGGGGACGAGCCGCGUGACGUGGGUGGUUCUGUUAUAUACGAGAUAUUUUGAGGUAGCAGGUAGAUGAAUCAAGGAUGCUUGGAGAGUCCUAGCUACCAGUCCCACUGCACUCACGAGGACGAAUUUCCUUUCAAUCUUGUUUCUGUUCAGUGGUAUAUUGAUUUUGCGCAUUUUUCUUUCCAAUAAGUCGAUGUGAAUUUUGGAGUCUAGUGUGGUGGUUGUAGGUAUUGUAGUUAAUGACUUUGUUGGUUUUAUAUUCAUAUUAUUUUAUGAUUUUC